GGAAGAACUCAAGUAGAAAAGAAAAAAAGCAAAAAAGCAAACCUUAAUUCUUCUUUUCAUGUUGUGCAGUGAUUUUAUUUU
rnacentral:ribozyme from 13 species